rnacentral:rRNA from 1 species
UACGUAGGGCGCAAGCGUUGUCCGGAAUUAUUGGGCGUAAAGAGCUCGUAGGCGGUUUGUCACGUCGGCUGUGAAAACCCGAGGCUCAACCUCGGGCCUGCAGUCGAUACGGGCAGACUAGAGUGCUGUAGGGGAGACUGGAAUUCCGGAGUGUAGCGGUGAAAUGCGUAGAUAUCUGGAGGAACACCGGUGGCGAAGGCGGCAUCCUGGACCAAUACUGACGCUGAGGAGGCGAAAGCCAGGGGAGCAAACGGG